AUACGGAGGGUGCGAGCGUUAAUCGGAAUUACUGGGCGUAAAGCGUACGUAGGCGGUUGGUUAAGUUAGAUGUGAAAGCCCCGGGCUUAACCUGGGAACUGCAUUUAAAACUGGCGAACUAGAGUUGAGUAGAGGGGAGUGGAAUUUCAGGUGUAGCGGUGAAAUGCGUAGAGAUCUGAAGGGACACCAGUGGCGAAGGCGACUCCCUGGACUCGAACUGACGCUGAGGUACGAAAGCGUGGGUAGCAAACGGGAUUAGAAACCCCAGUAGUCC
rnacentral:rRNA from 1 species